AACGAACGCUGGCGGCAGGCUUAACACAUGCAAGUCGAACGCCCCGCAAGGGGAGUGGCAGACGGGUGAGUAACGCGUGGGAACAUACCCUUUCCUGCGGAAUAGCUCCGGGAAACUGGAAUUAAUACCGCAUACGCCCUACGGGGGAAAGAUUUAUCGGGGAAGGAUUGGCCCGCGUUGGAUUAGCUAGUUGGUGGGGUGAAGGCCUACCAAGGCGACGAUUCAUAGCUGGUCUGAGAGGAUGAUCAGCCACAUUGGGACUGAGACACGGCCCAAGCUCCUACGGGAGGCAGCAGUGGGGAAUAUUGGACAAUGGGCGCAAGCCUGAUCCAGCCAUGCCGCGUGAGUGAUGAAGGCCUUAGGGUUGUAAAGCUCUUUCACCGGAGAAGAUAAUGACGGUAUCCGGAGAAGAAGCCCCGGCUAACUUCGUGCCAGCCGCCGCAGUAA
rnacentral:rRNA from 1 species